rnacentral:rRNA from 1 species
UCUUAGCUUGCUAAGGCUGAUGGCGACCGGCGCACGGGUGAGUAACACGUAUCCAACCUGCCGUCUACUCUUGGCCAGCCUUCUGAAAGGAAGAUUAAUCCAGGAUGGGAUCAUGAGUUCACAUGUCCGCAUGAUUAAAGGUAUUUUCCGGUAGACGAUGGGGAUGCGUUCCAUUAGAUAGUAGGCGGGGUAACGGCCCACCUAGUCAACGAUGGAUAGGGGUUCUGAGAGGAAGGUCCCCCACAUUGGAACUGAGACACGGUCCAAACUCCUACGGGAGGCAGCAGUGAGGAAUAUUGGUCAAUGGGCGAUAGCCUGAACCAGCCAAGUAGCGUGAAGGAUGACUGCCCUAUGGGUUGUAAACUUCUUUUAUAAAGGAAUAAAGUCGGGUAUGCAUACCCGUUUGCAUGUACUUUAUGAAUAAGGAUCGGCUAACUCCGUGCCAGCAGCCGCGGUAAUACGGAGGAUCCGAGCGUUAUCCGGAUUUAUUGGGUUUAAAGGGAGCGUAGAUGGAUGUUUAAGUCAGUUGUGAAAGUUUGCGGCUCAACCGUAAAAUUGCAGUUGAUACUGGAUGUCUUGAGUGCAGUUGAGGCAGGCGGAAUUCGUGGUGUAGCGGUGAAAUGCUUAGAUAUCACGAAGAACUCCGAUUGCGAAGGCAGCCUGCUAAGCUGCAAC